CCUUAAGUUUCAAUCUUGCGAUCGUACUCCCCAGGCGGCAGACUUAACAGCUUCCUGCGGCACUAGAACGGCACGUGGCCGUCCAAACACCUAGUCUGCAUCGUUUACAGCUGGGACUACCCGGGUAUCUAAUCCGGUUCGCUCCCCCAGCUUUCAUCCCUCACCGUCGGGCGCGUUCUAGCAGACAGCCUUCGCCACUGGUGGUCUUCCUGGGAUUAUAGGAUUUCACCCCUACCCCAAAAAUACCGUCUGCCUCUCUCGUCCCCUAGCCAAGCAGUAUCCCCCGCGAUCCAACGAUUAAUUCGGUGGAUUUAACAAGGGACUUACCUAGCCAGCUACGGAUGCUUUAGGCCCAAUAAACAUCCACACCACUCGGAGAGCUGGUAUUACCGCGGCGGCUGACACCAGACUUGCCCUCUCCUUAUUCCCCCAGCGUUCUAGACUGGGUAGAAGCCUUCCUCAGCGGAUGGCACUCGGGAUAGCCCUGUCACACUUUCGUGUAUUGCAAAGUUUUCGCGACUG
rnacentral:rRNA from 1 species